UACGAAGGGUGCAAGCGUUACUCGGAAUUACUGGGCGUAAAGCGUGCGUAGGUGGUGAGUUAAGUCUGUCGUGAAAGCCCCGGGCUCAACCUGGGAAUGGCGAUGGAUACUGGCUCGCUAGAGUGCGGUAGAGGAGAGUGGAAUUCCCGGUGUAGCAGUGAAAUGCGUAGAGAUGGGGGGAGAACACUCGUGGCGAAGGCGGCCAGCUAGACCAGUUCUGACACUGAGGCGCGACAGCUGGGGGAGCAAAACAGG
rnacentral:rRNA from 1 species